AAUGAACGCUAGCGGGAUGCUUUACACAUGCAAGUCGAACGAGUGGCGGACGGGUGAGCAAGAUAUCGACACGUGCCCAGUAGCGGGGGCCAACUACCCGAAAGAGUGGCUAAUACCGAAUGUUAAUGGCGCGGUCGAUAUUGGAUGAGCUAGUUGGUUGGGUAAAGGCUCACCAAGGCAACGAUCCGGAGCUGGUUUGAGAGGACGACCGGCCACACUGGGACUGAGACACGGCCCAGACUCCUACGGGAGGCAGCAGUGGGGAAUUUUGGACAAUGGGGGAAACCCUGAUCCAGCCAUCCCGCGUGUAUGAGAAGGCCUUCGGGUUGUAAAGUACUUUUGGCAGAGAAGCGGUAUCUGCAGAAUAAGCACCGGCUAACUACGUGCCAGCAGCCGCGGUAAUAC
rnacentral:rRNA from 1 species